UAGGAACAGUGAUGUUUGUAC
rnacentral:piRNA from 1 species